AUUGAACGCUGGCGGCAGGCCUAACACAUGCAAGUCGAACGAGUGGCGGACGGGUGAGUAAUGUCUGGGAAACUGCCUGAUGGAGGGGGAUAACUACUGGAAACGGUAGCGAAUACCGCAUACUAUCAGAUGUGCCCAGAUGGGAUUAGCUUGUUGGUGGGGUAACGGCUCACCAAGGCGACAAUCCCUAGCUGGUCGGAGAGGAUGACCAGCCACACGGGAACUGAGACUCUGUCCAUACUCCUGCGGGAGUCAGCAGUGGGGAAUAUUGCACAAUGGGCGCAAGCCUGAUGCAGCCAUGCCGCGUGUAUGAAGAAGGCCUUCGGGUUGUAAUGUACUUUCAGCGGGGAGGCGUUACCCGCAGAAUAAGCACCGGCUAACUCCGUGCCAGCAGCCGCGGUAAUAC
rnacentral:rRNA from 1 species